rnacentral:rRNA from 1 species
UACGUAGGGCGCAAGCGUUAUCCGGAAUUAUUGGGCGUAAAGAGCUCGUAGGCGGUUUGUCGCGUCUGCCGUGAAAGUCCGGGGCUCAACUCCGGAUCUGCGGUGGGUACGGGCAGACUAGAGUGAUGUAGGGGGAGACUGGAAUUCCUGGUGUAGCGGUGAAAUGCGCAGAUAUCAGGAGGAACACCGGUGGCGAAGGCGGGUCUCUGGGCCGGUACCGACGCUGAGGAGCGAAAGCGUGGGGAGCGAACAGG